AUCACGUGACUGUCGCCAAUAACACCACGAAUAAUACUAGUUUAAUGUUGUACCAUUUAUAAAAUGUUUGAGACAACACAUAAUGUUCCUUGUCAACUGGCGUGGUUGAAAUUACGCAGAUAUAUGUCACCAUGUCCAGUUUGCGCUUGAUACCAGGAAGUGUCGUAGUUGGCUAACUAGGUAGCUAGCUAACCACAGCUGCGUCUGAAAUGACAUUUUAGCUGAUUUGUGUCUGUUGACAUGACUCGUGGUGUGUCAGGGUUGUAGUGUUAUCGUUUUUAAAACUGGAGGGUUGUCAUUUUCUUCAGCAGCUCGUUGCUUACAAGGCUAGCCAAGGAUGUCUCGUACUUUGAGUGGUCAGUCUUCGCUUGUCAUUAGCCUGGCAACACUCCUCCGAAAUAAUGGCGAGUUGGUGCUCGGAGGCAGCAGCACGCUGACCCUGCCAGCGACAAGCUUGCAGCAGCUGAACCGACUGUUUGAGCAGCACUUGUUGUCCAGGAGUCAACAACAUGGCUUUCUAGCCCUGCCGUCCCAUCCAGCUGACACGGCAUCUUUGUUGCAGCUGCAGUUCCUCUUUGACAUCCUGCAAAAGACAAUUUCCCUUAAGCUCAUUAAUCCAUCAAGCACAAGACUGCAGUCUACAGUCAAGAUAUUCCCUUUUAAAUCUUUGAAGUGUUUGGAGCUGAAGAAUAUCCCACCACAUUGUCUUGAGGGGCUCAGAGGAGUUUAUUCCCAGUUGGAGGUCUUCAUCUGCUCAAAGAGCCUCAGCUCCCUGGAGGAGCUGCUUUCCCUGUGCGGCGGUGACCUCAGCUCUGCACUGCCGUGGCUAGAGCUUCACACGCUCAAUUUUAGCUACAACCUCAUAAUGUGCCUUGACCAGUCUUUGAGUCUUUUGAAUGUCCUCAAGUGUUUGGAUUUAAGCCACAACAAGAUUCAGGAGUGUGCAGAAUUUCUAAUGCCUUUGAGUGAAUUGGAACAUUUGAAUCUGGGCUACAAUUGCCUACAGAGGGCGCCAACACUUAGCUUCAGCUCCAGGGUAAAACUACUCACGCUGAUCCUCAGGAACAAUGAACUGGAGACGAUAAAUGGUGUCGAGCAGUUGUCCUCACUCCAACAUUUGGACUUGGCCUACAAUCUUCUACUGGAGCAUUCUCAACUGGCUCCUCUCUCAUUGCUUCAUUGCCUUAACAUAUUGAACCUGGAGGGCAACCCGCUGUAUUUCCAGAAGACCCACCGCACAUGUACUGUCCGACACCUCUCGCCAGAAGCUGCUGGCCAAAGACUUAAACUCGACGGCGCCCAGCUCUCCUCCUCUGAGUUAUCUGUUCUUCCGAAAGCUGGAAAACUGAUGGUCCACGUCCAGUCGUGUCCUCCAGCAGUGUUAGAACAAAGUCUUGCUGAAUUGUCAAGUGGAGCUGGAGAGCUCAGCGACAGUCUGUCAGUGGGGGAGGUGAUAGCUUCACGUGUUCGUAAGAAAAAGUCCAAGACAAAAGUGAAAGUGCGACGUGCGAGUAUCUCUGAGCCCAGUGACACGGACUACAAGGCAGUGCCCUCGUCACAGGACAUUGUCCUUCCACACAAAGAGGAAAUUGAGCGCAUGUCAAGUUUCAGAGAUCAGUUGGGUGAGGACUGGCUGCGGUACCAGCACCAUCUAGACGCAGAAGCUGUACAGUCACCUGUGACUACUGUUCAAGGCCAGGAAACCCUCUCCAACAGCCUUGUCACCUCCCUGAGCCUUUCCCAAGAGGUUCUUCCUCAUCCACUAAUGUCAUCCGAGCCAAGGGUGCAGACGUCUGAGGUCGAGGCAGAGCAAGAGACAGAGUCCACAUUGCAGUGGCCCAGUCACAGCUCGCAGCACUCUGAGUCAACCCUCGAAGAGACUGCAGUAGAUGAUCAGGUGGACACACCGGUGUGUUCUCAGCAACUGAAUUUGAGCUCUCACAUAUCAGUGACAAAAGAAAGUGGCGAUUUCAAAGAGGGAGAAGAUGACAAAGAUCUGGGAGUGGACCAGUGUCUGCCGCUUCUGGUGGGUGUGUUAUCUGACAAAGAAGAUGAAAAGUGUCAGGAUGCGGGGAGAAAGGAGGUGUUUCUUCGUGUCAAACAGGGCCAUUUACUUGAGGUGGACGUGCAAUCGGGCCAAGAAAGAUGUCGCCUCGGGCUGGACUGUCUGACUAGAGUGGAUGCCACACAGGCACCUUGGACACACAAGGAGAGCAAAGCAAUGUUCCCAGCUGUUGAGAUCCAGUUUGACUAUAUCAUGAAGGAAAAGAAGCGGAAAUGUUAUGUCCUUUUGGAUCAUGACCCACAGCAGGCACUUAAGGAUCUUGUUGAUGUGCUCUCAGCUGUGGUGGAGGCUAAACGCCAUUGUGACGCUGGGCACUUUCCAGACAGUGUUUAUUUGCAGUGCCUUCGUUGUGGGUCAGAGUUCAUGCAGGCUGGAGGUCGAGAUAGGAGAGCAAGGCCUAUGAGGCUGGCAGAGCACGGAGAUGAGCGGGAUGGCAAAGAGAUGAUGGAAUGGGACGAGGAGGACAAAGGAAGCUGUGAUAACUGUCCAGAAUGUGGAGGUGACCACUUAAUCCAGCUACAGGGCCAGUUAUUUCCUCUCAGCAGUACACCAAUCCAACACCCAGCAAGAGCAGGCAGUGAACACAAAAAGGUGAACCCUGAUAUUACAGGUACUCCGGUGGAAGCUUCCACCACUGCUGCGAUUGAGGACAUCAACACACUGGACAGCUCAUUCAAUAUUGGUGAGGGCGGGACAAACUCAUUCUCCCUGUCCUACAACGCUAACAGUCAAAGCAAGGACGAUCUUGCUGGCAGCUACAGCUACAGUUCCACACCACCCAGUAUCCAGCCUCUUGGAAGCACAAACUCAACUGGUAAUUUGGAACUGCUGACUGAGGCCUUUUCGGUGGUGGACCAUCGGCUGAAGCUUUUCUUGGAUGUGGACGUCUUUGAAGAGGAAGAGGAGCUCAGUUGUUUCCUACAGACAUCUCUUGUGAGAUUUGGGGAGCCACAAGAGUGUCCAUCUCUGGUAGUGGUGUCUGACAAAAGAAUCUACAUCCUUGACGUGAAAACAGGAGCGAUGAAAGGGCAGCUCUCUGAUUGGCUCCACAAACGUGAAUGCUACCCAAUAUUAGAGCUCAGCUACCUGGAGGUGGGACUUGGCUCUCAGAGUAUUCACAUGGCAUUUGACGAUAGGGGAGCAAGUGGCGUAGCAUACACCCUCUUGGUGCGAGACGGUGUACGCUGCAAACGCUUCUUUGGCCUGCUGACAGGAAUUGUGCGUGAGAUGGCACACCGGACCGACAGCAAACUGAGGUCAAUCUCAACCGCCAGACUUAAUCCUCAACAUCAUCUCUGGCCUCUUGUGUGCGAAGACAUCCAGACAGAUGUCGAGGAUGGCCAACUACAGUUUUGCUACGUUCUGGCGUUUUUGCCGCAAGAUAACAUGUGGGUUCCAAUGACUGUGCUGGCAACCCGAGAGACACUUUACCUGUUGAGCGAGGAUCACCAGUGGGGGAAAGGAACAAACCACCCGACGACACUCAACGACAGCCUGACGCAGAGCAGCGGGAGCUUCUCUGUUCUCGAAACACUGCCCAUCAGCUGUGUAAGCUCAGUCCACCUGUGGCCCAAUGAGCAGUGUCGGAUGGAUGUCAAGCUGUACGACGAGACACAGAAAGAGGAGAAGACCUGGCAAGUGCGUUCAGAGAGUUCAGAGCUCCUACAGGACCUGCUGGCAUGGGUCCGAACACAGUGGGAAGCCAUGUUCGGUGUUAGGCUACACACAAUUAUGCACAGCAAAGAAACAUGACAAAUUAUGACAAGUUUCAUUUUUUUUUCUUUCAUGUGCCUCCAAUGCGUCAGAUAGGCCGAAGUCCAUCUGCUGGUUGUAUUGUUGGUUAAAUGAAGCAAACCUUCUAUCUUUUGGAAAAAUGAUGCUGUGAAGGAAAAUUGUGGAUUAUUUUUUGUUUUUAUUUUUUUGUAUUCAAGUCGUGGGAUUCUGAGCAUGAACAUGACUGCAUGAGUCAUGAACAUGUGAAGCUGUCAUCAAGCAUACAGUAUGUGGGAACCCUUCCCCACAAUGGAUAUUUGAGUCCCAACAUCCUGCAGCUGCUGUUUGACCACAAGCUGCUUCAAUGAAGUUGUGCAUCCUUUGUGAGUCUUGUGAACACUACGCUAACCAAAUCCACUGUGUAAAGAUUUCUUCUUGCCGCCAGUGCACCACAUGUGUUGUGCAUAUGAUUGUAGAAGACACAAAUUACCUUCUGCUGAACCAAUGUGAUCCAAACCAGGAUACCUGUAUAUGACUUUGAAAAUUGAUUGUAAAAUAAAUGCAAAGAACAAACAGUGGCCUGUCUGUAGGAGAGCUUUCAGGGGAAAGCAAUGGUGAGUAGCCCCCUAAAAAUAUUAGGGAGGGUGGGGGUAAAUGACUGAAGAACUCUUUUUGUGGUGAAAAAAAAAAAAACCCUUUAAAUCAUUUCGCAGGAUCAGCAACACUCAGAAGGUGUUUAUGUCAAAAACAACAUCCAAUGAAGACAUCACCAGAGUGACAUAGGAUAUGUAAACGAUUUGUGAUCUCUCAAACAUGAAUUUAAAAAAAAAAACAGCUCUGGAACAUUUUAUGGCCAGGUGAGAAAAGAACCAAUUUGUACUCAUGUGGUAAGAAAGCCCAUGAUCCAAUCACUUUAUCAUUGUAUCGGUGUAUCAAUACCGUACAUCAGUGAAGAAUGGUGGUGGUAGUGCAACGGACUGGAAACAUAUUUGGUUUCCAGUGAAACUCAUGGUUUAUUGGUGAUGUGACUGCUGACAAAGUCAUCAGGAAGAAUUCUGUUUUUCGAGCAAUUUUAUAUUGUUUCAUAAUCAGCAAAAUGUUUUAAAAUAUGACACUUUCAAAAUUCUGACGGAAAACAACCUGCAGGAUACUACAAAUGCAACCAGGUUUUUUAAUUUAUUUUUUAUGGCAAACAAGUGGAAUGCAAUGCAAUGGCCUGACCUGAAUCCAAUUGAACAUGCAUUUCCUUGCUGAAGGUAAAAUGCUCAGAGGUCAAGGAUCUGAAGACAGCUGCAUCAGAGGCCUGGCAGAGCAUCACGCAGAACACUCAAGUCUUCUACACGCAUCCAAUUCCUCCACCCAUACAAAUACCUCAGCAUUAUUUCACGCACGCUCAUUUGCUUAUUGAAGGAUCCAAAUCAAGUGCCCUGUCCUGUAAAUAGUUAUGCCUGUUGCCAAAUUGGAUUAAAGGUGCAAAGGCCCAACUCCACUCUCCACUCCUUGUGUUCUGACCGACAUCCCGAAGCAACUCUAUGGGGUGGACAUGCCCGCCAACCCACCUUGAUGACUACAAAGUCAAUUAUACAUGGCACAGGCAGGAACCUGAGCUCGCGUGGCCAUCUCAAGAGGAAUGAUCGGACGAGAUGAUCCCCCACCGUUCCAACCCUUCUCACCACGACAAGUACCACCAGCGGGAUUCUGAUUUCCACGAGGCGGACCUGUACUACCCAGAGGGGUAGCGUUACAGUCCGGAAACACAGCUAGCCCACCCAAGGUAUCAAUCUAGAGCAUCCAGGGCCAACGGUCGGGAGCCACCUACACCUCAUCCUGUUUCGUCAAGCACCAUGAUAAGAGAAGAACUUCAGAGCGGCUUGCUACAGCAGUCACAGCAGGCUGUAAAGUUGACGUAGCUGCACUCAACUCACUUCAAGAAGAAAUGCGUAAACUAGCCCAAGCUGUGUCAAGUCUCCAGCGAGCUUCACAGUACUCAGCUACAAACCCUUCCCAGAGGCAGUGUUGUUAAUCUUACUGAAAAAAAGUAAUUAAUUAUAGUUACAAAUUACUUCUCCCAAAAAGUAAUUGCGUUAGUAACUCAAUUACCUGAAUGUAAGAGUAAUUAGUUACUUGGCAAAGUAAUUGGUGAUAAUUACUUUUUUUUUUUCCUCAAAAAAAAAAAAAAAAAAAAAAAAAAAACAUGGGCCACACUAUGUGAAGUUUUUUUGUGAAGGUUUUUGGUCCAAUUGGCCCGAGCCCAAUUCUUUACCCUAAUUUACCCUUUGCCCUGAAUCAACUGUUAAAAGUUGUUAAAAUUGCUCCCAUUAUUGCAUUAGUUCCCUUCUCUCUACUUUCAACAUAUGAAAGUUUGAAAACUGUUUCAUCAUUUAAAGAUAGAUUAAAGUCAAGAUUUUGCCGAUUUAGAAGUAUUUUAGAUAAAAAGUCACUUAGGUUCGCAAGGAAGGUUCUCUACAACAGAGCCGUAAUAAAAGGUCUGCAUCUAUUGCCGUGUCUGUCAUUUUGCAUCUAGUUAUAUCUAUAUACAGUAUAUGUGAUAUCUACAAUGUCUACCAUAUCUACCAUAACAUGCGGGCGUAGUUUGUGGGCUAUCGGCUACAACAGAUAUUAUUGGAGCUACCUAGCAUCGCGUUUGCUCGGCGUCACAACUUUCUUGCCUCCUCCCCACUCCUGCUCUGCUCUGUCGUCUCGGUGAGUCCGUCUCCCUCAGACUUUUCGACCAAUAAAAUAACUCAUAGUAACGCAUGCCUUUCCAUCCUCAGUAACGGUAACGGCGUUGCCAAGAUGAGAAAAGUAAUUAAUUAGAUUACCCACAAUAAAAAAAUAACGCCGUUAGUAACGCCGUUAUUAACAACAUUGCCCAGAGGGAAACCACUCCUCCUCAAGUUGAAAAUGAAGAGGACUGGCCGGAACCUCCACCAUUGCCCGACCCAACGGACAGAGAAAAACAGGCAGCUUAACCCUUGACCGAGCAGUUAAAUCACCUAAUCGUACAACUACAGCAGAUUGCAAAAUUCUAAAAUAUGCCCAUUGGAUCAGUCUUAAUUUAAUGGUCUGAUGAUGCUACAGGCAUAAAGAUAAAAACAUACAUUUUGGCCUGUUUAAAAACAUGCUGUCUAAAUAAGAAGACAUUUGAAUGGAAAUAUACUGAGGUUUUACCUUGGUAGCUCAGAUAUGUUGAGUUUGAAUUUGAAAAAAAAAAAAAAAAAUUCUUAUUCCAAAGGGUUCGGUUAAUGCACGUGUGAAACUCAUGGGGUUGGGUACCUUUAGCAAGGUUAAGAACCACUGCUUUAGUAGUUUUUGAAAACAAAGGUUUGAAUCGAAUGGUGUAUCGCCUCACCAAAACACAAGAAAGUUAGUAUAAGUCAAUACAGAUUUAGGUUGCAUUGAUAAUUUAGCCUAUCACUUAAUUUAGGGUGACCAUAUUUUGAUUUCCAAAAAAGAGUGCACUCGGGCCUCGAGAUACUUGAAUUUCACUCGAAGUUCACUCAAAGAUGCCUAUAUCAAUUUAAUAUAUUUAAAGUGUGCCGCCUCCGUAUGGACAGAAAAAU